UACGUAGGGCGCAAGCGUUAUCCGGAAUUAUUGGGCGUAAAGAGCUCGUAGGCGGUUUGUCGCGUCGGCUGUGAAAACCCGGGGCUCAACCCCGGGCCUGCAUUCGAUACGGGCAGACUAGAGUUCGGUAGGGGAGACUGGAAUUCCUGGUGUAGCGGUGAAAUGCGCAGAUAUCGGGAGGAACACCGGUGGCGAAGGCGGUUCUCUGGGCCUGACCUGACGCUGAGGAGCGAAAGCGUGGGGAGCGAACAGG
rnacentral:rRNA from 1 species